rnacentral:lncRNA from 1 species
ACAGAAAAAUAGGCAUUUAUAAUUUAACAUUAUAUGGUGGACUCUUGAUUUUACAAACUCAUAUGGAUCCCCAAAAAAGUUCAUAAAUGGGAAUGGCAUUAAUUAACAUUAGGUACUUUUUGGGACCAACUGAAUAGUUCAUAAAUUGGAGGUUUGUAAAAAUGUGAGUCCAUUGUAAUUAACUUUGCAAAAACUUAUAUGCUAUUUUUGUUCACAUAUUUUUGUUUUUUACCUAUAUUUUUUAUAAUAAUGUAUAUAACCUGCAGUAGCCUGUUGCUGUGUACAGUGUUCAAUGCAGUAGAACCCCGUUUAUACAUCCCAUUUGCACAUUUUCCAUUCAUACAUUUUUGUAUUUGUACACUAUUAUUUUUAUUUUCCCAGAAUCGUUUUGUUGCACUUAUAGAUAAAAUCCAAGAAAUCUUUUUGUGAAACUUUUUUGAUAAA